ensembl:lncRNA
AUGCAUGUGUUGAUGUGUUCCUCUGUGCGUGUGCAGCUGGACACUCUGAGUCUGUUGAGCCUGAGGCAGUUGGUGGAGCUGUCCAGCACUCCUGGAUUCCUGUCCAGCGCUGCUGCGGUCGAUAAUCUACUGCUCUAUGUGCCGGACGCUCAGAUCACUGCGUUCUUCUCAUCCCUCUCUUUUACACUACAGACGCAGGGCGUGGUUCUCCCGUCCCCCGUGCAGGAGGCGGUUCUGCAGCAGGUGUUUGACAGGGCCAAUCUGACCACAUUACCAGACGCUGAUCUGCAGANGACACAAUUUGUCGAUUAUCAAACUAAUCAUUAGUUUGUGGUGCAUGAAUGUGGAAUAAUAUGUAUUUUUUUCUUCAAUAAAUAAAAGUAAAAUUUGGCCUUUUACACAUUAUUCAUAGAAACAAUUAUCAGAUUAAUCGUUUCAAAAACAAUCAUUCAUUUGAAGUCCUAAUUCUGAUGGCUCGUUCGUGCUGCAUGAAUGUGGAAUAACAUGUUUUCUCCCAAUAAAAGAAACAAAAUUAAAUAUAUAUUUUAUCCAAUUAAUCGAUUAUCAAAAUAAUGUUUAGUUUCAGCCCUAGUUCUGAGAGGGCAUUUGUGAAAUAUCUGUGUUCUGAUUGGCUGUCUGAGGUGUCUCUGUGUUCUGAUUGGCUCUCUGAGGUGUCUCUGUGUUCUGAUUGGCUGUGGUCUGUGUCUGUCAGACGCAGGGCGUGGUUCUCCCAUCCCCCGUGCAGGAGGCGGUUCUGCAGCAGGUGUUUAACAGGGCCAAUCUGACCACAUCAUCAGACACUGAUCUACAGUUCUGGAUCCUGAACAUACUGCCGUCCUUCAUAGCCAACAUUACAGUCCAACACGUGACGUCCUACUUCAGCAUCGUCCAGCAGCGACCCUGUCCCAUCAGCCAGCAGGCGUAAGACUCUCACACACUCACACUCACACACACACACACACACACAACCCGUCUGUGUGCUCACUGAUGUUUGCUCUUCCAGGGUGCAGCUGUUGAACUCGUCCAGCUCCACCUUCCAGCCGGAGACACAAGAUCAGAUCUACCAGCUGAUCCUCGGCUCUCUCACAGGUGUCCAUCCAUCUGUCCAUCCAUACAUGUAUUCAUCCCUCCAUCCACUUAUCCAUCAUCCCUCUGUCUCCACAGGCCCCGCCCCGCUGCGCUGCUAUGGUGACCAGAGCUACUAUGCUUUCCUGAGCUCCUCCUUCAUGAGUUUCCAGUUCCCCGAUCUGACCACCUUCCUGUCUCUGAUGCCGUCGGCCCGCGUGCCAGAGGUCAGAGACAUCACACCGCCUCCACCUGCCGAUUACUGAUUAGAUCCAAUGAUAGAGUCCUGAAUGAGCCAGUAGCUGAAGGUUAUGGUCAUUUCUUUAAAUCAGUGAUUCUCAACCAGGGGUCCAUGUGGGAGCCUGAAGAUGACCCUAACUGUCCAUAGAUUAUAAUUAGAGGGGAACCUCUGAAUAUUGUUGUGGACAAUGGGGGUCAAACAUUUUGAGAACCGUUGCUUUAGAGAAAAACAUUUUUAAAUGUGCACCAAAUCACUAAGCACACCUUUAACUCGUUAUAUUGUCCGCUCUGCUGUUGUUUGACGUGUGUCUCCUCACAGCUGAUGGAGUCGGUGUCUCCAGCGGAGGUCAGCAGUCUCCUCAACCGGCCCAACGCUGUGGACGAUGUUACCCAAAUCUGCCGGUUUUUCAGAAUUUACCCAAAGACACCCCAGUACUUACAGACGGUAUGGACAUCUGUCACUCCUUUAAAAGUUUAUAAACUAAUGUAAUGACUCUCUAGAUUUAAACCUGAUAAUAUCUGGUUCUGAAAACCUUAUAUUAACCGCUCAUGUCGUUUAGCAGCUUCUGAAUUCCUCUCAUUUACUGUGAAAUGUCCAAAGCAGCUCCGGUUUAUAGUCCUAACUGUGACGCGGUAGCAGUAAAUGAAGAAGCGUCUCUCUGUGUGUCCUGCAGGAGCCGCUGUUGCCCGUGGGUUUGGCCCGGCAGGUGUUGUCCUGCGUCUGGCCUCAGGUUCUGAAGCUGGACGUCCAGUCUGAGGUGAAUCAGUGGUUUGAUCUUCGACUGGUUCAGUACCUGCCUCUCCUCACCCCACAGUUCAUCGCUCCAGACGUCAUGCUAAACGCCUCCUGUCUCUCCUUCAAGAAGUUGUGAGUAGCAGGUUGCCCACAUCACAUUGCUGUGCAGUCACAUCAGAGAAAUUCUGGAGAGAUUUUGCAGACAAAAAAGGUCCGUGCAGUAGGGUAGCGAUGUACCGUACGAAGCACAGCUCACUCAGAAGUCCCUUUCACAGAGCUCUGGUUAGUGUGACCGUACCUUCACUAUGUGUUCCAGUUGUGUAAAGACUUUGUUCUUCACUUAGGGGUAAACGUUUCAGAUGCAAACUCCAAAUGAACUUAAUUUUGGCCUAAUUUUGUUCAAAAUAACGUCACAUCAGGUUGUUCUUUAAUUUCGCUAGAAUCUCAUCGAGGCUUAGUGCAACUAGUUUUCUUCCUAAAGACAUCUAACGAUGACAGAUUCUGUGCGUUUCUCUGUUUAGUGUUUCAGUGAUGGCUAAUUACAACUACACUGCAGCGGAGUUUUCUCCGAGUGACAUCUACAACACCAUCCUGGUCUACCUCAACACCUGUGAGUCGCUCUGAUCGACAGCGUGACUGAUUCUGCUGUCCAGUAAUGUGAGGGUUUGUCUGAUGCUGAGUCACGUUUGUCUUUGUGUUCUCAGCCUCAGAUUCAACUCCUAAAUGCUAUAACACCUCCAACCCUGAUCUCAGCUCCACCGCCUGGUUCGCAGACUACAUCUCCGUCUUCUUGAGCUUCGUCACACUGGAUGACCUCCUCCAGUUUGGCUCCAUUCAGGUGUGUCAACUCACAACUUGAAGAGAUCUCAGAUCUGUUUUCUGUCGUCUGAAUCCGAUCACUCUUAACGGAAUAGUUCAUCUUCACUCUAAUGUCGUUCCAAACUCAACGUGUUUGUUUUUCAGCCGUUCCUCGUGAACCUGGAGAACCUGCAGCUCUUCGGUCAGACCAGCGUUCCUGAUGACGUCAUGGAGUACUACGUGACCCUGCUGUUCGAGGCGAAUCCGUCCUUCAGCGCCUACUAGUGAGAGACAUCAACAACACUCUCAAUAACCAAUCUCACACUGAAAAUAAAGCUUCCCAAAGCAGGUUUUCACAGUGAUGCCAUUUAAAAGAACCAUUUGGGUUUCCCAAAGAACCUUUCAGUUAACAGUUCUUAAUAGAACCAUCGUUUCUUAGUACAAAGAAUAUUUUAAGAACAUUUUUUCCAUUUUAAAGAAUCUUUUGUGCGAUGAAAAAGAUUCCAUAAAUGUGAAAGGUUCUUCAUGGAAUGGAUAAUAUCAAUAAAGAAGCUUAAUUUUUAAUAGUGUACAUGAAAAGUCAUUUAAAUCCAGCUAAGCCACUCUCAUCAAAUGAAGGCUUGUUCAAAUCUCACAUAACACAUUUAUUAACAAUACUAUCAUUUGAAAAAUCCCCCCUGAGAAGGUUGGUCUGGUUUGAUGGUUUUGGCCACUUGUCUGUUGGACCAUCUUAACUAUAGAUCAGUUUAGACCAGCAAACCAACCAAGGCUGCUUAAUGUGUGCUUGUGUUCACAGUCUUCCUCAGAAGUUCCUCUGCUUGGCUCCUGCGAGCUCCUUCCUUCAGCUGAGUCUGGAGCAGCUGAAGAACAUCUCAUCCAGCGUCCAUCAGAACUGCACAGAUGUUCUACCUGAUGUAUGUACUAGUGUGUGUGUUUAUAUCAGCAGAAGUAAGCUCUGUAUAAGCUAGACGUGUGUGUGUGUGUGUGUGUGCAGGUGUCGGCGGCUCUGGCCAGUAACGCAGGGGAUCUGACGGUGAGCGCCAUCGAGGCUCUGGGUCAGUCGUCCACGGGUUUGAGCACGGCUCAGAUCAGCGGCGCUGGAGGGAACUUGCUGCUCAACACGCUCUCCGUGCUCAGUCUCGUUCAGGACUGGAACCUCGAUCAGGCCAUGAUGAUCAUCCAAACCCUGUUGUCGUCUGGAGUUUACCAGGUACACACCACCAAUACCUCUCAAAGCCUUACGUGUCUCUGACUGAUGUUUCAUUCCUGAAUGAAUCAGUGGUGUUACACGAAUGGGUUCAAUCAAAGAUUCAUUGACUCACAUAUAAAGACUGUUACUUGUUUAAUUCCUGAAUGGAUCAGGGUUGUUGAAUAAACCGUGAUUCAGUGACUCACACACAGUAAUCUCUGCCAGUUUAAUUCCAGUAUGGA